GCCCAUGCUGCCCACCGGAGUCUCUUCAUCUAUGAACAGGUAGAUCUCUCUGCCCUAUUUUAUCCAAGAUUUAUGAACGAAUCGCGAUAAUAGAGUUUCAAUACUAUAUCUGCACAUGUUUUGUUAAGUUGGAUGAGUAACAUGCAUGUCAUAUCAUAGAGAUCUUUUUAAUUUUUGUUACUCUUUCCAUUCAGAAUUUUAAUGACAAACUUCCCAAAGUGUUCAUCCCAGUCCAGGUGGGCUCCCAUGACAAGAUGCCAUGGACUAGGCAGCAUCAACUCCUGGAUUUAUUUUUCUUAGUUCCUGAGGUCAGAAAUCCAAGAUCCAGGGGUGGUGAGGUAGGUUUCAUCUAGAGGCCGCAUCCCUCUGUGCUCACGGGACCUCUUCUUUGUGCAGGCAGAGACGACGGAGAGCUCUCUUACAAGGGCAGUAAUCCCAUCACAGGGCCCCACCCUCAUGACCUUGUCUAACCCUAACCCUCCCAAGGCCCCCCCUCCAAACACCUUCACAUGGGGAGUUAGGGCGUCAACAUACAAAUUUGGGGCGGUGGGUGCAGGUGCACAUAUUCCAUCCAUACAAACUUGCCCAUUUAAGGACGUAUUUUCCUUGUAGAUCUUCACUGGAAAGAGGAAACUUUUUAGUAGUAAGAGGAUAAAAAUCUCUGUCAUCCCAAUUGACCCAAGGUCUUCAAAAGAACGACUCUAUUAAAGCAGGAACUCAACAUCUCCGUUUUAAUUUUCCAUAGUUCCUUACUCACACCAUCCAGCUUUAAACCCAUGUGACUCCACAAGGGUGUUCAUUCUCUUUUUUAAUUAGUUAUGUCUCCCUUAGGACAACGAAGACAUUGGUAUUAACACUUUCCAAAUGCCAUUUAUUAUCAUUCCAGAAGGACACUAUUUGCAGAACCACCCUAUAACCAGGCCAGAAUAACACAUCAUUAAUGGCUUCAGGAAAAGAAAAUGUAUCAAUUAAAGCACAAUUCUUUUAUAAAAAGAAAAUAAUUAGCCAAAAGCCCACAUGUUGGCAGAUACUGUUAUUUCACAGCAGAUUUAAUGUGGUGGCAACACAACUGAUUUUGGAAGUGAAAAUAAUCGAGGCUGCAGACACACGUGGCACUGAAAAUAGGAUUUUCUCCCGUUGGAGGGUUGAGAUGCACUGUUAACUAAAACACUGAUUUCUAUACCCAGCAACCCUGAGGCAAUCUUAACAGAGAGGAUCAGAGAAUGCUCUGUCUCCAUGGCAGCCCAGCAUCUGUGGGGCUCUGCUGUUGGUGUUAGAUGUUGUGUUGCUCGCUGAGAGGUUGCCAAGCUGUAACUGCACAACCAUGACAUAAAGCGAUUGACCUAGUACCCGUAGCUUUGAAGCUGGACAUCUAAAAUGCAGCAGCAUAGACUAAUUAAGUAUAGACUACACUGCUCCCAAAAUAGUAAGACAAUCAAUGCAGGAGAAGCAGGUCCUUCAGUUCAUGCUGUGGAGCUCGGGCUCUGAGCUGGGCACUGUGCUGGGUGCAGAGUUGGACUUGAUGUGAAGGAGAGUGGUGCACAACUGACGAUGAUGCAACUGAGAAGGCUCGGUGGAGGCUUCAUGGAAGAAACAAACGACCUGGACUUCGAAGAACAGAGAGAACUCGCCACAAAGGGAAAGUGCAGGAGAGGUACGUGAACAGCUCUAUUGAAUCGGGGUGCAGGGUGGUCAAAGGGAAGGGAGGGGUCAUCAGUUCCAAGGCAGCUAAAGCCCUGAGAAGGAUGUUGAAGGCCAGGUCGAUUCAUGGGAAGCCGGUGCUGCUUUUGAGAAGGGGACGAUACCCUCGUAAGUAGGAGAAAUACACUUUGUCUAUCGCAUCAGAUACACUCGAGACUCAGGUCGCAGGCAGGACAUUUAAGAGGUCUUUGGAAAAGUCUGGUCAGGGCUGACAGGAGCGGAGUAACGGCAUCUUCAGAGGGAACGCUGAGGAAGGCGGGCCUUGCAGGGCUUGUCGGGCCGGACUGGAGCCCUGCACGUGAAGGAGCGGGGGCAGAUGAAGGACGCUGCAGGGCCGGAGACGAGGCAGGGGCGGACAAGGACGGACACACCCGCGGCUCCCGCAGCAGCACGGUUUCUCGGCCGAGAGGCUGCGACACGGCAGGAGGGCCCUGGAGUCAGGCCCCCCGCCCCGCAGGCCCUUCCCAGCCGGCUGAGGCCCCCUUCGUGGGCGCGGAGCCCUCCUCGGGAAGAGGCUUUGACGACGCCCGUCGGCCGUCUCCGGGUUAGAAUCGUGGAACGGAAGGCAGAAGUCUGUGAAAGGCACUUGGCGCUUCAGGGCAAGAGCGUCACACAGGCGGGCACGCGCCAGGCCCCGCGCUGUGAUCCGCUGACGAGGGGGCGCGCACGAAGGCUCGGGGCCCAGCCACACGCACACCAGGACGCGCAGGCGCUGGGUGCGCACGACGGUCCGCGCGAGGACCGGAGAGGCGACCCCGCGCGGCCCUCGCGGCGGGAAAGCGGUGAGACGCACGUGCCGCGUCGAACAGGGCGCCGUCCGCAGUGGAGGCUGGAGGCCGGGGCUGUUGCGAGCGUUUUCCCUGAACGCCAGGCAUGGAAAUGGUGGCACGCGAACAAUAAGUCAGGUCGGGCCGGCAGUGGGACUGUAGUUUCCUGAUUUCUACCCUCUUCCGUUUCUGGAGAGGUCACUGGUUUUUCUUUUUUCGAUCUUCAUCAGAAAAAGUGAGCCUGAAGCCCACCCUCAGGUCAGAGCGCGGGGCUGGGGAGGAAGAAAGAGGCGCGCGCGCUCCGGGCUUCAAAGCUGGGCCUCGAUGAAGGGAAACAACGCUUAUAUUGUAUCUCACACAAUUUCAGGACUUACUGGGUUGACAGAGAAAAGCAAUUUACAUUAUAUGAGGAAGAAUUGUCUGGAAAGGAGCCCUCUGUAACAAUGACUGACAUCUAUACACUCCUUUAGCAUUUGCAGACACUCCGACGUGACUUCUCUCGGACACACGGGCUUCCCACCCUCCUCAGAACAGCCCCCGAAGUGUAGGGGCCUAGGAACGGGGCUCCAUGGACGAGCCCAGAAGAUGAACAACACCCAGCGUCCCUUUCUGAAGUGUGUCCCAGACUUCAUCUCACCUGUGCCCCUCGUGCUUCACAGGAGGAACGCGGCCGGUUUUUAUUGCUGAAGGUAGAGAUGUUGGUCUCCGUUAAGGCACGUCUGCGCACAGAGGACAAACAGCCCUGCAGGGCGUUCUGACACCCUCUCCGUUUGUAGGGAAACCAGGAAGACCACUCCUGACCAUGUCCCUAGGCCCCACGGAGCUCACCCUGGAGACUCAGCUCUUUUCUACAGGCCCCUUGGAUUCCAUUCCCAACAAAUUUCUAGGAAACAAGAAGAAUUAAGGCAAAUCUUGGUGCAACAGAGAUCAUUUAAGAGCAUAAUUAAACUAGUGUGCUUUUUUCUUUCACUUUUCUGCACUGUAUACGUGGCCUUUCCCCUAGGCAGCCAGCAAUCGUCAUUUGCCACAAGGAAGAUGAGAAUUGUCAAAAUAAAAUGCAAACUAAAGGAAGAGGCAUUAUUCAGAUUCUGACAGAAUGAGAUAUUUGCAUCUCUGCUGAGACAAUAUUUUUAAAAGCUAUGAUUGUGAGAGGAUAAAUAAAUAUGUCCUGUGAACAAGCACAUGCGUGUAUGUAUGCACACACACAUGUAUAUAUGCAUACGUUCAUUUUCUCAAUCCUGUACUCUUCUCAACAUACUAAGAAGCCCAGCCUGGAAGAGUUUAUGCAAGGUGCUGGGUAGAAGGGACUGAGGCUGUGACAAAGGAGCUGCACUGCCUCUGGGGAGGAAAGGAGGGGAGGCCUCUGAGACCCAGAAGAAGACAGUUUUAAAUAAAGAAAAGGCAGAAGUUCAAAGCCAUUGUCUUUCUUUCCAACUCCCAGGUUGGACGCUUAAGUCAGGGACGACGGAGAGUCCAGAGGAUGUGGGGCACCCACCUGACUGAGCAGAGUGGGGUCUCCUCGCUGGCCUGGCCCCCCAGCCCAGCCAGAGGGGUCCGAGCAGGUUCCUAAGUGAGCACUCAGGAAUGUGGACACAGACUCCGCAGCAUCUGGAGAUUCUGGGGUUCCCACGGAGAUCGAGCAGAGGAGGUGGGAGAAUCAGAGAAGCCAGGUUUCAGGGCAGGAGACCUCACCAUGGAGGGACCCCAGCACCCACCCUGCCAGACCCAGGCCUCCUCAACCAGCCACAGACCCAUGCUGAGCACGGUCUCGCUCAGAGAAGUGGAAGGGGAACCCAAAGGGUGAAUAUUUCCCUCCAAAAGCUGAGUCAGCCUGAAACUCAAAAGAGCCUGAAGUCCACCUGGUGGGUGGGUUUGGGGGUCUCGCUCUCCCACCUGUGUGUGAGGCAGGGCCGGUGCUUAAGGGCAAGUAAAAUGUUUUGUGGGAAACAGACAAGUCAAAUUAGAAGAACGUCCAUCUUCCUCUCAAUCAAAGCUUAAAAUCUAUGUGACAAUAUGGAGGAAUGCUUAUAAUUGAGUUAUAAACAUGGAAAUAUGUAUAAAAUUGCCCGUACAUUAUGAGUGUGACUUAUCAACCAUCCAACUGUAGAGAAAAGAUGAGAAGAAAUUAUACUGAAAUACUAGUCGUGGUGACAUCAAUGAUGGCUGUAUUAUUCACGGUCAAGGUUUUGUUGGGGGAUUUGAGCAGGAAGAAGACAGAAGGAGUAACAGGAGCAAGUCGGAUCCACAGGAGGAGACCACAUCCUGCCGCCCUGAACCCCAGCCAGGAGGCUCUUCCAGAAUUGGCAAGAUCCACUCCUCUCCCCAGGACACAGCCUAGCAGACCUGCCCAGGCCUAGCCGUGGAGCCGCCUCUAGGAAACAGGCUCUUUGGACCGGGAGGGGAGAAACGGUUGUUUCCUUCCUGCCUUCCUCUUUUCUCUGCUUCUCCCUUCUCUCCCUUUCCCUCAAGCUGUCUCUCCUUUUCUAUAUUCUCAUCAUAUAAAUGCUUUCUCUGGGGACUGGCACUUCAGGGAUUUUGCCCAAAAGUACUCCCACCAGGGGAAGCGCAGGAUGCCUUUGCUCCAGCAUCUCUAUUAGCCAAAGAGAAUAAAACAAAGUUGAAGGAUGCCCACUUCCUGGAGCUGCUGUCCAACUGUAAUUACCUUUCCGUGCAGCAAGAGCACUUUACAAGCAUCUAUCAUCCGGUAACUAGAGUCAUGGGCAUCCCAGCUGCUGAGCGUUAUUUCCCUGCAGGAGGAAAGAGAGUUUUAACAGCUACACCCUGAUUUUCUUCCUUCAGCCAGAGAGGGACAAGAAACCGUCACCCCAGCGGAGCCCCCACCAAGGGCAAUGGGGCUCACACAUUGUUAUACUGCUUUCUAAACAGUUUUGGCCAUAUGAUCUCUAAGGACAAAUUUCUAUUCCACUUUUGCACUCAAUUCUUAUUUUACAUUUGUUUCCAGAGAGACCAAGACAACACAAUAGAAAAGUUGGACUUCUAAGGAUAUAUAGACAAGAACAUAGUAUUUUUUAGAAAUUGUUCUCAAUUACAAUAGUAAACACACACUUUCAGAAUGACUCCUCAAAGGGAUUCUAAGAAGAAAUUCUAGCUGUUCACAGACCUUGACUGAAAAGGGCUGUCUUCUAUACAACCAGCUUUUCGGCUAGGACACUCAGGGAAGAUGCUCCUGGGUCCAAGAGGUGGUGCAGGAGCAGCCACAGCAUCCAGCGCAGUCUGCACUAUUUACUGAGCAUGUGUGUCUAAAGUCCCCCUGAUAAGACAUCCUGUGGUAGCGCAAUGAAGAAGACCACUUUAUCUUUUCUGUUUUUUUAAAGAUGGGCACCUGAGCUGACAUCUGUUGCCAAUCUUCUUUUCUUCUUCUCCUUCUCUUCCCCCCACCCCCAAAGGCCCCCAGUACAUAGCUGUAUAUUCUAGUUGUGAGUACCUCUGGUUGUGCUAUGUGGGACACCGCCCCACCGUGGCUCGAUGAGUGGUGCCAUGUCCACGCAGAGGAUCCAAAUCGGCAAAACCCUGGGCCACCAAAGCGAAGCACUCAAACUUAACCACUGCACCAGGGGGCUGACCCCUAGACCACUUUAUCUUGAAGGAGGUCCAGACCAGUUACUGGAGGUGUGAUGCCCCAAAGGGCCUUUCUUAUGUAGCGAGUGUUCAGAUUAGAGGAUAGAAGUCCACAGACGCUGGUGGGAGUGCAGGAGGCCACGCCGUUAAAAGAGACUUUGUGAAGUGGUGAGGAGGGCACACCUCAUGCUGGCAGAGUCAUUGCCAUCUCUGAUGGUUUGUGUUUAUACUUAGGGUGCAGAUUUGGGGGAACUCUAAUCCUGCAGCUGCAAAGCCCUGAGUGCAGAUAUGGACCCCCAGGAUGGCCCUGAGGGGGUGCCUUAAGUUGAUGAUGACAAAUAGGGAAUUUCCAAACCUCUUUU
ensembl:lncRNA